rnacentral:rRNA from 1 species
CGGAGGGUGCGAGCGUUGUCCGGAAUCACUGGGCGUAAAGGGCGCGUAGGUGGCGCUGCAAGUCAACGGUGAAAGCUCGACGCUUAACGUCGAGUCGGCCGUCGAAACUGCAGCGCUCGAGCACUGUAGAGGCUCAUGGAAUUCCGGGUGUAGCGGUGGAAUGCGUAGAGAUCCGGAAGAACACCGGUGGCGAAGGCGGUGAGCUGGGCAGUUGCUGACACUGAUGCGCGACAGCGUGGGGAGCAAACAGGAUUGGAUACCCUGGUAGUCCACGCCGUAAACGAUGGGCACUAGAUGCUUGGGGGAGCGACCCCUGAGUGUCGUCGCUAACGCAUUAAGUGCCCCGCCUGGGGAGUACGGCCGCAAGGCUG